rnacentral:rRNA from 1 species
UACGUAGGGGGCAAGCGUUGUCCGGAAUCAUUGGGCGUAAAGAGCGUGUAGGCGGCUCGGUAAGUCCGCUGUAAAAGUCCAGGGCUCAACCCUGGAAAGCCGGUGGAAACUGUCGAGCUAGAGUCCGGAAGAGGCGAGUGGAAUUCCUGGUGUAGCGGUGAAAUGCGCAGAUAUCAGGAGGAACACCAAUGGCGAAGGCAGCUCGCUGGGGACGGUACUGACGCUGAGACGCGAAAGCGUGGGGAGCAAAACAGG